rnacentral:lncRNA from 1 species
AAUUGUGGCCGCGUUGAUUAGCUUCUGCAGUUGGGGCCUAAUUUGUUCCAGCGUUUUGUUCCAGCGUUUUGUUCCAGCGUUUUGUUUUCUGGGGUUUUCUUUUAUGGUGAGAAACAAACGGGAGCCUCCCUUUGUAAAAGGGGGAGAAAAACCCCCACUUAAUGUUCUGAGGCGAAGCUACUGUUUUGGCUUUUAGUUGGGUACUAACUCCCACCCAUCUAGAGACUGGUCUGUCGAUCGGUCUCUCCAUUAAGCGAUUUGUGGAAGCCUGUAUCCUGUAUACAUUAUGGAAACAGACUGUGAUGCUGAUACACACACACACACACAUCUAGAGAUUGAUCGAUUUGAGUUCAGUAUGUACCCUUUACAGGUGUAAUGGAAACGGAGGUUAUAGGAUUAGGUUAGGGUUAGGUUAGGGUUUGGUUAGGGUUUGGUUUGGUUAGGAUUAGGUUAGGAUUAGGUUAGGGUUAGGUUAGGAUUAGGUUAGGGUUAGGUUAGGAUUAGGUCAGGAUUAGGUUAGGGUUAGGUUAGGGUUAGGUUAGGAUUAGGUUAGGGUUAGGUUAGGAUAAGGUUAGGAUUAGGUUAGGAUUAGGUUAGGGUUAGGUUAGGAUUAGGUUAGGAUUAGGUUAGGGUUAGGUUAGGGUUAGGUUACACACAUCACCCCAUACUGAACACACAUCACCCCAUACUGAACACACAUCACCCCAUACUGAACACAUAUCACCCCAUACUGAACACAUAUCACCCCAUACUGAACACACAUCACCCCAUCCUGAACACACAUCACCCCAUACUGAACACACAUCACCCCAUACUGAACACAUAUCACCCCAUACUGAACACAUAUCACCCCAUACUGAACACACAUCACCCCAUACUGAACACAUAUCACCCCAUACUGAACACACAUCACCCCAUACUGAGCACAUAGACAUCACCCCACACUGAAUGGGGGCAUGGAUAUCACCCCAAACUUGACUUGUGCAACAUGCCUUGCUAACUUGCUGACCCUAUGAUGAAGACAGACAGUGAUUGUGCAAGUAAUUCUAUAGCUAGCUAGUAUUCUUCAAAAUAUUCACGAUCGGAUUUUCACACAGCCAGAAUUACCCAGCGUUAGCUAGUUAGAAAAAACCCUGACACAGCUAAUAAUGACUCAAGUGUAAAUGUAAAGCUAACUAGUUACUAGCCAGGAGAAAGCUUAUAGUUGCUCAUGUUUUUUCUAGCAUAUCAGAGUUUAUUCACAUUCAUGCACUUUUUUUAUGAAACGUACUUUGUUGUUGCCAACAACAAUGACUUUCCAACGGUGUGGUGAGUAGUGAUGGUGGUGGUGUUGCACACAACUUCUUGUCUUACUCACACACUGCCACACCGCUUGAAACAACCCAGAGGGAGAAGGAAGAGGUCUGUCAGUGGGGGCAGGGAAGUGACUCUCGUUCCAGCAGCACAGGCCUUUUCAAAAUAAAAGUCCCUCAACAAAUCCGAG